rnacentral:rRNA from 1 species
UAUCUCUGUAGAGUCUGCAUAUCAAUAAGCGGAGGAAAAGAAACUAACUAGGAUUCCCUCAGUAACGGCGAGUGAAGCGGGAAGAGCUCAAAUUUGAAAUCUUCAAGGUUUUACCUUGACGAAUUGUAGUUUAAAGAAGUGUUUUCUGUUGGAGUUUUGGUAAAAGUUCUUUGGAAUAGGACAUCAUAGAGGGUGAGAAUCCCGUAUUUGACCAUUAUUUCCAGCUUUGUGAUACACUUUCAAAGAGUCGGAUUGUUUGGGAAUGCAGUCCAAAAUGGGUGGUAAAUUUCAUCUAAAGCUAAAUACUGGCGAGAGACCGAUAGCGAACAAGUACCGUGAGGGAAAGAUGAAAAGAACUUUGAAAAGAGAGUUAAACAGUACGUGAAAUUGUCAAAAGGGAAGCGUUUGACACCAGUGUUGUUUUCUCGAAAAUCAAUUAAAAAUGGCGGGAUUUUGUGUUGUAUUGACUUUAUCAGCUUUCUGCACUCUUUUCCUGUCUUUUUUAAUGCACUUUUCGUUUAACAAGUCAACAUCAAUUUCUUUUGUUGUAAAAGAGUCAUUGGAAGGUGGCUUUCUUUUCGGAGAAAGUGUUUAUAGCCUUUGGCUUCUGCAAUCGGAGAGAUUGAGGUCUGCAGCGUAGAUCCUUCGGGGUUAGAUACAUUUGUGCUAAGUUAUAGCCUUUCAUAGACAACUUGUCGACUAUGAUCAGUCAUGUAGCUUACUCGCUUAUGCUAUUUUACCUACGCUUAGGAUGUUGAGUCAUCACACAUCUCU